AGCCCUUCUCCACCCUACGCCUGUGUAUAGUGUGAAUCCCUAUACAGUAUAUACAGGCUAGACCAUGGGUUCACGGGCUCUCCUGUUGCUGAAACUACGUAGGAAAGAAUCAUGAUAAUAGCCCCGGGUUAAAUGAAGAAUGUUUCUUUAUUCAGUUCCACUUGUAACAUUGGCAGUAACACAGUAAUAUUACAAUAAACGUUGACCUGCAGCGGUUUUACAUAAGACUAAGUAGAGAUGGAAAAACGAUAUUUUAAUGAGGUGAUAAAAGAUUCUUUUGUUUUUGAACCGGGAAAUGAUUUGGACGAAACCUGGAAAACCAUUGCAUCAGAAAUUGUUAAAGAAAACGAAGAAGAAAGGGAGGCGAAGAUCUCAGAGUUCAUUAAACUGAUUCAAGCAGAUCCCCAGGUGGCAAAGUGGAAAGGUCCAGAAGAAAAGUCAAGUCGGUUUGAGGACAAACAAUGUAUGAUAAAAUUUCUGAGGGCUGGAUUGUGGAAUGUAAAAACAGCAAUGCAUAUUCUAAGACAAUACAUUGCUUCCGGUAAUCUAUAUCCUGGAAUAGUAAAAGCAUCAGUGCCUUUAAAGCUGGAGAAAGUUUGGGCCCAGAAGCUGAUUUCUGUAUCAGAUUACAGGGAUUACUAUGGCAGACGAAUUUUCUUUUAUAACCCAGGUGCCUGGAAUCCAGAUGACAUCCCUGUAAAUGAACUGUUUGCUGCUUCACAUCUAAUCUAUGAUAUGUUGGCCCAGGAGGAAAAAACUCAGAUUGCUGGAGUAACAAUGGUGUGUGAUCUGGCCGGGUUCGGAUUCAACCAAAUGAGAUCCCAUGGAAUGGAACAGAUUCGAUGUUUAACCUCCUUCAUGUCUGGUGCUUUCCCCAUCUGGGUUCACAAGAUUCAUGUUUGCAAUAAUCCUGGACUAUUCAGUGUUCUCUACAGUAUGAUGACUCCAUUACUAGACGACAGGGUCAAAGGAAACAUAAUUUUCCAUGGUUAUGAUUACACGAUGCUGCACAAAGAGAUACCACCUUUCCUUCUCUCGGAGAGCCUAGGAGGAACUGGGGAGCUAGAUAAUGAUCUAAGCCUGCAGACUGUGAAGGAGAAAAAUGAUUUCUAUGUUGAUAUGAUAAAAUGCUGGACAGCUGGAGCAGAUAUUCAUUGAUAUGAUAAAAUACUGGACAGCUGGAGCAGAUAUUCAUUGAUAUGAUAAAAUACUGGACAGCUGGAGCAGAUAUUCAUUGAUAUGAUAAAAUACUGGACAGCUGGAGCAGAUAUUCAUUGAUAUGAUAAAAAACUGGACAGCUGGAGCAGAUAUUCAUUGAUAUGAUAAAAUACUGGACAGCUGGAGCAGAUAUUCAUUGAUAUGAUAAAAUACUGGACAGUCGGAGCAGAUAUUCAUUGAUAUGAUAUUGAAAUCAUAUUCUUGCCAAAAAAUCUUUUUCAAACAUUGAGAACCAGAAUAUUGUGGAAAGACGACUUUUAGAUCAAGUUAGGAUUUUAAAUAGCUAAAUGAACAUGAUACAGAACACCCAGACAGAGCGUGUGAUUUUUAUACUUCUAGUAAACCUAUUUACUUUAAGACAACAUCAAAUACACUUAAAGAUUGAUUUGAAGUCGUCUUCUUAUUCCACCAUUUUCUGUGUCUCCCUGUAUUUUAAAACAUAACGUCUUUUUCUUAUUUUUAUGAAAAGAAUGAAAAGUUCUAUUCUUCGUAUAAAAUACCAUAUAUAUAUUUUUAUGACUGCCUGACAAUGGGUAGAAUGUUUAAUUAUUUUAUAUACAGUUAAACCCUAAAUGC
rnacentral:misc_RNA from 1 species